UACGUAGGCGGAAAAUUAAGUGCCUUGUGAAAUCCCACGGCUUAACCGUGGAACUGCAGGACAUACUGGUUUUCUUGAGGCAAGCAGGGGUGCAUGGAACUCUGGGUGGAGCGGUGAAAUGCGUAGAUAUCCAGAGGAACGCCAGCGGAGAAAUCGGUGCACUGGGCUUGUUCUGACGCUGAGGAGCGAAAGCGUGGGUAGCGAACAGGAUUAGAUACCCUGGUAGUCC
rnacentral:rRNA from 1 species